rnacentral:rRNA from 1 species
GAUGAACGCUGGCGGCGUGCCUAAUACAUGCAAGUCGAGCGAACAGACGAGGAGCUUGCUCCUCUGACGUUAGCGGCGGACGGGUGAGUAACACGUGGAUAACCUACCUAUAAGACUGGGAUAACUUCGGGAAACCGGAGCUAAUACCGGAUAAUAUAUUGAACCGCAUGGUUCAAUAGUGAAAGACGGUUUUGCUGUCACUUAUAGAUGGAUCCGCGCCGCAUUAGCUAGUUGGUAAGGUAACGGCUUACCAAGGCGACGAUGCGUAGCCGACCUGAGAGGGUGAUCGGCCACACUGGGACGGAGACACGGUCCAGACUCCUACGGGAGGCAGCAGUAGGGAAUCUUCAGGAAUGGGCGAAAGCCUGACGGAGCAACGCCGCGUGAGUGAUGAAGGUCUUCGGAUCGUAAAACUCUGUUAUUAGGGAAGAACAAAUGUGUAAGUAACUAUGCACGUCUUGACGGUACCUAAUCAGAGAGCCACGGCUAACUACGUG